CUUAGCGGAGGAAAAGAAACCAACCGGGAUUGCCUUAGUAACGGCGAGUGAAGCGGCAAAAGCUCAAAUUUGAAAUCUGGUACCUUCGGUGCCCGAGUUGUAAUUUGGAGAGGGCAACUUUGGGGCCGUUCCUUGUCUAUGUUCCUUGGAACAGGACGUCAUAGAGGGUGAGAAUCCCGUGUGGCGAGGAGUGCGGUUCUUUGUAAAGUGCCCUCGAAGAGUCGAGUUGUUUGGGAAUGCAGCUCUAAGUGGGUGGUAAAUUCCAUCUAAAGCUAAAUAUUGGCGAGAGACCGAUAGCGAACAAGUACAGUGAUGGAAAGAUGAAAAGAACUUUGAAAAGAGAGUGAAAAAGUACGUGAAAUUGUUGAAAGGGAAGGGCAUUUGAUCAGACAUGGUGUUUUGUGCCCUCUGCUCCUUGUGGGUAGGGGAAUCUCGCAUUUCACUGGGCCAGCAUCAGUUUUGGUGGCAGGAUAAAUCCAUAGGAAUGUAGCUUGCCUCGGUAAGUAUUAUAGCCUGUUGGGAAUACUGCCAGCUGGGACUGAGGACUGCGACGUAAGUCAAGGAUG
rnacentral:rRNA from 1 species